rnacentral:rRNA from 1 species
UACGAAGGGGGCUAGCGUUGCUCGGAAUCACUGGGCGUAAAGCGCACGUAGGCGGCUUUCUAAGUCAGGGGUGAAAUCCUGGAGCUCAACUCCAGAACUGCCUUUGAUACUGGAGAGCUCGAGUCCGGAAGAGGUGAGUGGAACUCCGAGUGUAGAGGUGAAAUUCGUAGAUAUCGGGAGGAACACCAGUGGCGAAGGCGGCGAUCUGGGAAGUUACUGACGCUGAGAGGCGAAAGCGUGGGGAGCAAACAGG